UUCUUUCUAAGCUUUGAAAUACUAAACGUCCACUCACAUCCAAGCUCUUGUGAUAUUUAAAUGAUAGAGCACAUGAAGAGGUGAUGGCAACCUUCCUCAAGUCUCCACGAACUUUGUUGUUUUUGAGAAACUCAAUUGAUUCAGCAUGCUAUUGGAAAUGUUCGUCUUCUUUAUCUACAUAGAGCGAGCUUCAUGAACUUCAUCUCUUCCUCCGACAUCACCUUGUUGUGCCAUCUAUUCUCUCUACAAUUGGCAGUGUAGAGUCACCUAUUUGGAAGCCCAACUUCAGCAUGAUUUGUUCAAGCCUUUGCACAUUUGUAAGGUAGAGAUAACCAACAAGUGUUUCAAGUGAAGACGCUCUGUUGUAAACAGCCACACCAGCACGCUUUUUUGUCUUCGUCUUGCCUGAACCAACAUUUUUCCCCCAACGUAGAACACCCCUUUCCUCUUCGGACAAUAUAUUGUCGUUCAUAAGUUUCUGCAACAUAGCAUCUUGUGCCUCGCAACGUACUACUGCCAUGACUCGAUCAUUGUACUCUUCGAUGCUCAAUGGUGGGAACAAAAAAUGUCUUCUUGCAUAUAGCUCAAAGAUGCAAUCUCCAACGUAAGCUAGCGAAGCUGCGUUAAACACGGACCGAGGCUUCUCAACUUUGGGUGCACUUGGUAGCCAUACGUCGUACCCCAUAUAUGUUCCAUCCGGUUUCACUUCCGCAGACUUAGGAAUUUCACGUUUGAGAAGGUCCGAUACUGAAAUAUUCGACCGGCUGGUAGAAGGGGACAAGGAGAUAGUUGAAAUGGCGGAUAGAGAAUCAGUGGUUUGGGGCUUUUUAGGAGAUGUACGGUGAGGAGUGUACGGAAGCCUUUGAGUUGUGUCAACUGAAGCUUUUACAAUUGGGGAUAUGGAGAAGAAAG
rnacentral:misc_RNA from 1 species